UGGGGGAUAUUGGACAAUGGGCGAAAGCCUGAUCCAGCCAUGCCGCGUGAGUGAUGAAGGCCCUAGGGUUGUAAAGCUCUUUUGUGCGGGAAGAUAAUGACGGUACCGCAAGAAUAAGCCCCGGCUAACUUCGUGCCAGCAGCCGCGGUAAUACGAAGGGGGCUAGCGUUGCUCGGAAUCACUGGGCGUAAAGGGUGCGUAGGCGGGUUUCUAAGUCAGAGGUGAAAGCCUGGAGCUCAACUCCAGAACUGCCUUUGAUACUGGAAGUCUUGAGUUCGGGAGAGGUGAGUGGAACUGCGAGUGGAGAGGUGAAAUUCGUAGAUAUUCGCAAGAACACCAGGGGCGAAGGCGGCUCACUGGCCCGAUACUGACGCUGAGGCACGAAAGCGUGGGGAGCAAACA
rnacentral:rRNA from 1 species